CUGUCGAAUGUGGAUGUGCAAGCUGUCAAACAAAUAUCAUCCUGGUGGCCUACAAAGUGCCAUUUUAUGUUCCACCUUAGCAGCGCUCCCCGCUGAGAAGUGACACUCCAAAAGAAAGUGAAACCACGCGGGUUUAUACAUGAAUGGAUGCACGGAGACACGAGCCAAGUGUGUCUCAUCUACGAAGACGGCACCAAAACAAAAGCAGAACGCAGCGAUCUCAUCCAGAAACCAGACGGAAUUAGCAACAUUUCUGCUCGACAGCCAGCGGUUGACUGUUUGAGCAACGCCUUGAUGCGAGAAGAAGUCCUGGCGACAGACUGAUGGAGUAGAAGGGAGAAUGGACCACAUGGGUGGGAAUUAUCUCCUGAACAGAAAAGUGUGGUGAGUUCUUUGUUUGCAGACAGUCAGUUCCAGUUAAGUACCAUAUAUUGUCCAU